rnacentral:rRNA from 1 species
CUUGCCUUAAACUAUGUAUACUUGGUGUAAUUAGGCUCAACCCUGAUUGUACCGUAGCGAACGCGUUAAGUAUACCGCCUGGGGAGUACGCUCGCAAGGGUAAAACUCAAAAGAAUUGACGGGGACCCGCACAAGCAGUGGAGCAUGUGGUUUAAUUCGAUGCAACGCGAAGAACCUUACCUGGACUUGACAUGCUUUUGACCGCUGUAGAAAUAUAGUUUUCUCGCAAGAGACAGAAGCACAGGUGC